ensembl:lncRNA
GAAAGAUGGCGCGUAAACAACACGAGCGCGCGAGCGUUCAUAUCCACGUGAAUACAUUUGAAAUAUCACAAACCUUUUUUUUCUUCUUCUUAUUCGUUUGUUGUUGCUGCUCCAGAGAGCUGCAAACGGCCCCGCUGUGGUGGGAGCGGGAUGAUGCGAGGCUGUAACAGGCUGAAACAGUGGCUUGUUGCAGAGUCAUCUGCAGCCUUCUCUAGAUAAAAGAGUAGCUGGUGUUUCAACCCUUAGCGUUGUAGCAUUCUACACGAGUUUCACACAAGUGUGCAACAAGAAGUCACGGUUUGGGUUUAUUUCCUGUCUUAUUUUGUAGUUUUCUGCCUCUUGUCUCCCUGGGUAACUUCACUUCCUGCCUUGUCCUGUCAUCCCCUGUGAUUGUCUGAUUCUUUCCACCUGUGUCCAAUC